rnacentral:lncRNA from 1 species
CCAAAAUCUAGAGCUGAAUGUAUUCCCGCAUUAUACUGGUGGGCGACCUAGAACUUAAAAGUAUUCCCGCAUUAUACUGGUGGGCGACCUAGAACUUAAAAGUAUUCCCGCAUUAUACUGGUGGGCGACCUAGAACUUAAAAGUAUUCCCGCAUUAUACUGGUGGGCGACCUAGAACUUAAAUGUAUUCCCGCAUUAUACUGGUGGGCGACCUAGAACUUAGAACUUAAAAGUAUUCCCGCAUUAUACUGGUGGGCGACCUAGAACUUAAAAGUAUUCUCGCAUUAUACUGGUGGGCGACCUAGAACUUAAAAGUAUUCCCGCAUUAUACUGGUGGGCGACCUAGAACUUAAAUGUAUUCCCGCAUUAUACUGGUGGGCGACCUAGAACUUAAAAU